UACGUAGGGGGCAAGCGUUGUUCGGAUUUACUGGGCGUAAAGGGCGCGUAGGCGGCGCGGUAAGUCACUUGUGAAAUCUCUGAGCUUAACUCAGAACGGCCAAGUGAUACUGCAGUGCUAGAGUGCAGAAGGGGCAAUCGGAAUUCUUGGUGUAGCGGUGAAAUGCGUAGAUAUCAAGAGGAACACCUGAGGUGAAGACGGGUUGCUGGGCUGACACUGACGCUGAUGCGCGAAAGCCAGGGGAGCGAACGGG
rnacentral:rRNA from 1 species